AUGCUCAUCAAAUUUCUGUUUGUAAAUAGUCGCCCACUCAUUUUCCAUCCUGGAUCAGUUGGUAGUGGUUUUAUGGAGCACUGUGUUGAGAAGGCUUCUGAGGCCUUGUCUGGGCUCAGAAGGAGGAAGUGGGACGGUCAGUCACUGCCGCCUACCAUGGGUCCCCACAGAGGAGAGAGGCAGCACAUAGGCCAGACUGGGGACUUUUCAUUUGAAUUCUCUUCCGAGAUGACUAUUCAAUUCAGAAAAGUUUUUAAUGACUUUGAGAAAAAAAGGCAAUGACUAACAUCCUCCAGAAAGAUUGUAUUCAUCAUGUAUUCAACUCACAUCCUCAAGAGCAGCGUAUGAAGACACCCUCCCCCUUGACUGCUGUUCAGCUGGCAAGCAUCAGAGGAACACAUAGUAUUUUAUGGCUGGCAUCAGUUCUGAGAGGUUAGUGUCUUGUACUAUACUGGUUGUUAAGAUAUUUUGAAUAUGUUUCCUAUCUGCUCCCUAUACCCUGGUUUACCUUGGAAAUCAUAAAAUUUUCAUAUUUUUGCAAAAUUGAUAAAUUGAAAAUAAUUUGAUUGAAUUUCUUUAAUUCUGGGUGGGGUUUGAGUAUGAUUUCAUUUUUAAGCAUUAAUGUUUUCUUUUUAUCAAGGUAAUCUGUACAGUGAAUAUUUAAUGAAACCAUAAGAAUUUCAAAUGGAAAGCAUCAGUCCCUAGCACUCUCAGUCCUGUUCCCCAAGGCAACCAAGUUACUCUUGUAACAUUUUCUGAUUUUAGUUGUGUGAGUCUCAGAAUCUUUAAAUCUAUUCAAUAC
rnacentral:lncRNA from 1 species